CCGACGGGAGCUUGCUCCCUUAGGUCAGCGGCGGACGGGUGAGUAACACGUGGGUAACCUGCCUGUAAGACUGGGAUAACUCCGGGAAACCGGGGCUAAUACCGGAUGCUUGAUUGAACCGCAUGGUUCAAUCAUAAAAGGUGGCUUUUAGCUACCACUUACAGAUGGACCCGCGGCGCAUUAGCUAGUUGGUGAGGUAACGGCUCACCAAGGCGACGAUGCGUAGCCGACCUGAGAGGGUGAUCGGCCACACUGGGACUGAGACACGGCCCAGACUCCUACGGGAGGCAGCAGUAGGGAAUCUUCCGCAAUGGACGAAAGUCUGACGGAGCAACGCCGCGUGAGUGAUGAAGGUUUUCGGAUCGUAAAACUCUGUUGUUAGGGAAGAACAAGUACCGUUCGAAUAGGGCGGCACCUUGACGGUACCUAACCAGAAAGCCACGGCUAACUACGUGCCAGCAGCCGCGGUAAUACGUAGGUGGCAAGCGUUGUCCGGAAUUAUUGGGCGUAAAGCGCGCGCAGGCGGUUUCUUAAGUCUGAUGUGAAAGCCCCCGGCUCAACCGGGGAGGGUCAUUGGAAACUGGGGAACUUGAGUGCAGAAGAGGAGAGUGGAAUUCCCCGUGUAGCGGUGAAAAAUGGCGUGAGAUGGGGGAGGAAACCCCGGGGGCGAAAGGCGAACUCCUCUGGG
rnacentral:rRNA from 1 species